rnacentral:lncRNA from 1 species
AAUGUUUGAAUGUGCCAUUCUAAUCUAGAUAUAAACGAAACCAUAUGCUGACUAUAAACCAGAGCAUACAAUCCAGGCAGUAUAUCCCAUUCACUUCAUGUAUACCGAUUCUGUCUAAACAGAAUAUCCAAUACGAGAAGCACAAAGCUCUGUUUUCUUUUCGGAGCAAUAUACUCGACUUUCAUAAUACUUCAAAACAAAAUAAUGCCACUAAAUCACAGUUUCCAAACAAAGGCUUUUUCCCAUGGCGCAGACCCUCUACGUAGCUUGUUGCAGGGUUGAGGUAAGCAUUUGAGUCAUUGGAGUUAACAUGUUCUGACGGCGGUUGGCAACCAUCUGCAUGCAACAAAGGGCACCCACAAUGGUUAUCUAUAGGCUCUCUACAAGAGAUACAUGUCAGCAUAUUUUCCUACUUGGAAGAGAUUAAAUGAAGAGAGAGAGAGUAAAGCUAUCUACUAACCUGGAGAUAGUCUAUAGAGAAAAACGAGGCAAUGCAUUAGAGAGCUAUAGAUAUCCAUGUAGACAUACCAUUGAAGUGGUUUACUAUUAAUCUAGUCUAUUGCUGAGAUGUAAAUGUUUUAUAGAUAGCACCUUACUUUACCAUUGCGGGUGCUCUGAGAGGCUUAAUCAAUGAACUAACAGAAGAAUAAAAUGGAAUUGCCAUAGAAAGAAUGCAUAAAAAAAAAUCCCUACCGUUUUGUGCAGCAUCGGGCUAGCUGCCACAUCAAUCUUGCCUCAUCAAUGCCGUGGAUGAAGGAUUGAUUAACGUUGUGACCUAUGAAUCACCGCAUCGACCUGCUGAUGAGAGGUCGCUGCCUACGACGCCAUCAUGGUAAAGCCCAAAGCUUGCUUGCCAAUGACGCCGCUGGGGGGACGAUCGUGUCGUCGGUUAGAUGGACGAUGGGUUGCCCCGUGAGUAUGCCGCCGCGCCGCCGCCGCCGAUUUCGUUCGUAUCAAGCAAAGCCUCGUUUGAUCUGCAUGUGGGAUUUGGAUUAGGACGGGAUAACUUGUUCAAGCAAUUAAUCUGAUUAGAAUCACAAGCGGAUUAAUAAUUGAUCUACAAGAGAGGACUUACCAGCAUCGUUUUAGCCGCCCAUCGGUGCAACGGAUGUACAUGAUGCUGCCUCUAUCUCCCUGUUGGACGCUGAAUCGGACCAACCGUCGAGCCAGUGCGCUGCGCGCCGCCUAGGAACGACGAUCUGGAGUCGAUCUUGCCGCCGCCUAGAAAUGUCAAAUGGCAGGGC